rnacentral:rRNA from 1 species
UACAGAGGGGGCUAGCGUUGUUCGGAAUUACUGGGCGUAAAGGGCGCGUAGGUGGCCUGUUAAGUCGAACGUGAAAUCCCCGGGCUCAACCCGGGAACUGCGUCCGAUACUGGCAGGCUUGAAUCCGGGAGAGGGAUGUGGAAUUCCAGGUGUAGCGGUGAAAUGCGUAGAUAUCUGGAGGAACACCGGUGGCGAAGGCGGCUUCCUGGACAGUGACUGACGCUGAGACGCGAAAGCGUGGGGAGCAAACAGG